GACGAACGCUGGCGGCGUGCUUAACACAUGCAAGUCGAACGGAAAGGCCCUGCUUGCAGGGUCCUCGAGUGGCGAACGGGUGAGUAACACGUGGGUGAUCUGCCCUUCACUUCGGGAUAAGCCUGGGAAACUGGGUCUAAUAUAGGACAGAAGACAUGUUGAGUGUGAUGGUUGGAAAGAUUUUUCGGUGUAGGAUGAGCGCGCGGCCUAUCAGCUUGUUGUUGGGGUAAUGGCCUACAAAGGCGGCGACGGGUAGCCGGCCUGAGAGGGUGGACGGCCACAUUGGGACUGAGAUACGGCCCAGACUCCUACGGGAGGCAGCGGUGGGGAAUAUUGCACAAUGGGCGGAAGCCGGAUGCAGCGACGCCGCGUGGGGGAUGACGGCCUUCGGGUUGUAAACUGCUUUCGCUAGGGACGAAGCUUUUUGGGACGGUACCUAGAUAAGAAGCACCGGCUAACUACGU
rnacentral:rRNA from 1 species